rnacentral:rRNA from 1 species
AGAGUUUGAUCCUGGCUCAGAACGAACGCUGGCGGCGUGCUUAACACAUGCAAGUCGCGUGCGCAGUUUCCUGUAGCAAUACAGGGGAUGGGCGCACGGCGCACGGGUGCGUAACACGUGGGCAAUCUGCCCUCCGAUGGGGAAUAACCCCGCGAAAGCGGGGCUAAUACCGCAUAACAUUCCUUGAGCGAUGGUUUGAG